UCCUGGUUAACCCAGGCAGUCUCACUAGAGUUCCCACCUUCACGUGUUGGCAACUAAUGAUAAGGGUUGCGCUCGUUGCGGGACUUAACCCAACACCUCACGGCACGAGCUGACGACAGCCAUGCAGCACCUGUACAGAGGUCCCGAAGGAACAUCCUAUUUCUAGAAUUUGCCUCUGCAUGUCAAGCCUGGGUAAGGUUCUUCGCGUUGCAUCGAAUUAAACCACAUGCUCCACUGCUUGUGCGGGUCCCCGUCAAUUCUUUUGAGUUUCAGCCUUGCGACUGUACUCCCCAGGCGGUAUACUUAACGCGUUAGCUCCGGCACCACUAGGGUUGAGUCCAGUGACACCAAGUAUACAUCGUUUACGGCAAGGACUAC
rnacentral:misc_RNA from 1 species